AUUAUUCUAGUUUAUUUUAGAACUAUUAAUUUGCAUUUAAUAAGAGGAGUCCCGAAUGAU
rnacentral:tRNA from 1 species